GAUGAACGCUGGCGGCGUGCCUAAUACAUGCAAGUCGAGCGAACAGACGAGGAGCUUGCUCCUCUGACGUUAGCGGCGGACGGGUGAGUAACACGUGGAUAACCUACCUAUAAGACUGGGAUAACUUCGGGAAACCGGAGCUAAUACCGGAUAACAUGUUGAACCGCAUGGUUCAACAGUGAAAGACGGUUUUGCUGUCACUUAUAGAUGGAUCCGCGCCGCAUUAGCUAGUUGGUAAGGUAACGGCUUACCAAGGCAACGAUGCGUAGCCGACCUGAGAGGGUGAACGGCCAAACUGGAACUGAGACACGGUCCAGACUCCUACGGGAGGCAGCAGUAGGGAAUCUGACGCAAUGGGCGAAAGCCUGACGGAGCAACGCCGCGUGAGUGAAGAAGGUCUGCGGAUCGUAAAACUCUGUUAUUAGGGAAGAACAAAUGUGUAAGUAACUAUGCACGUCUUGACGGUACCUAAUCAGAAAGCCACGGCUAACUACGUG
rnacentral:rRNA from 1 species